UACGGAGGGGGCUAGCGUUGUUCGGAAUUACUGAGCGUAAAGCGCACGUAGGCGGCUUUGUAAGUUAGAGGUGAAAGCCCGGGGCUCAACUCCGGAAUUGCCUUUAAGACUGCAUCGCUAGAAUUGUGGAGAGGUAAGUGGAAUUCCGAGUGUAGAGGUGAAAUUCGUAGAUAUUCGGAAGAACACCAGUGGCGAAGGCGACUUACUGGACGAUUGUUGACGCUGAGGUGCGAAAGCGUGGGGAGCAAACAGG
rnacentral:rRNA from 1 species